rnacentral:rRNA from 1 species
GCUUGCUGGAUGCUGACGAGCGGCGGACGGGUGAGUAAUGCAUAGGAAUCUGCCCGAUAGUGGGGGAUAACCUGGGGAAACCCAGGCUAAUACCGCAUACGUCCUACGGGAGAAAGGGGGCUCCGGCUCCCGCUAUGGGAUGAGCCUAUGUCGGAUUAGCUAGUUGGUGAGGUAACGGCUCACCAAGGCGACGAUCCGUAGCUGGUCUGAGAGGAUGAUCAGCCACAUCGGGACUGAGACACGGCCCGAACUCCUACGGGAGGCAGCAGUGGGGAAUAUUGGACAAUGGGGGAAACCCUGAUCCAGCCAUGCCGCGUGUGUGAAGAAGGCCCUCGGGUUGUAAAGCACUUUCAGCGAGGAAGAACGCCUAGCGGUUAAUACCCGCUAGGAAAGACAUCACUCGCAGAAGAAGCACCGGCUAACUCCGUGCCAGCAGCCGCGGUAAUACGGAGGGUGCAAGCGUUAAUCGGAAUUACUGGGCGUAAAGCGCGCGUAGGUGGCUUGAUAAGCCGGUUGUGAAAGCCCCGGGCUCAACCUGGGAACGGCAUC